UACAUGGGGUGCAAACGUUGCUCGGAAUUAUUGGGCGUAAAGCGCACGUAGGCGGUUCGUUAAGUCGGAUGUGAAAGCCCUCGGCUCAACUGAGGAAGUGCACCCGAAACUGGCGAGCUUGAGUACGAAAGAGGAUCGCGGAAUUCCCGGUGUAGAGGUGGAAUUCGUAGAUAUCGGGAGGAACACCGGUGGCGAAGGCGGCGAUCUGGGUCGAUACUGACGCUGAGGUGCGAAAGCGUGGGGAGCAAACAGGG
rnacentral:rRNA from 1 species